GAAGUGAGUAACUUCCCCCAUGCUUUAUUGAGACAAUAUUACAAAGCAAUUACAGAGGAGAAGUGGGUGAUAAAAGGUUACAUAGGGAAUAAUAAGAGUGGAGAAGACUGUGUAAUAGAAAUGGCCUUAUGGCUGUCAAUGGACUUAGCAGUGCAUAAGUGCCCCACAAUUGGAAGGAGUAUAACAACUUGUAUAGGGAAAUACAGGAGUAG
rnacentral:lncRNA from 1 species